UGACAUAUGACACUGAUGCCGGAGCAGGCCUGACACUGGCUCAGACACUGGCUGUAGUGAAGUGAGAAGCUGCAGUCUUAUGAAAAGAUGACCAGAAAGCUUCCUCGUAUGUUCUCGGCUCAGCUGCAGCCUCCUUCCUCACCUGGUUCUCCCGUCUCUCAUCAUCAUAAAGCCCGCCUUCCUCUCCUAACUGCUCAGCCUUCCAGCCUUCAGCCUGCUCUCCAACAAGACCCAUCCCUCUCUGUGUUCUGCCCUACCUCUUUCCCUCCUCUGACAGCCCCUUCCUACUACCCCACCUUAAGGAUCUCCAUUCCCAGCACCUCCAGACUUUCAACUAAGCGCACUGUCCAUCUCCCCCCCCUCUCCUGCUACUCCUCCAUCCUUGUCCCUACUCCCCCCAACAGCCCUGUUGAAUAGUUCCCUUCUCUCUAGCCCCCACCUUCAACCCUCCCACCCACCCUCAGCCACACCAGGUGAGCCACCGAUCUCAUCUUGGGGAAAAGUUUCCCCACUGCUACCAUCAUUCAGAAGUUCUGGGGCUGAGGGCACCUGGAAGCUUGACCUUACAAACAAGAAUGCAGGACUGUGGAGCCAAUGUAGAGUGCCUCUCUGUUGACGUCUGUGUUGGCUGGGUCUUAGCAGAUGGUGCUAACUGAGCAGGAACCCAGAGAAUUCUAGAGAAAUCAGCCCCCUAAGAACACCAGGUGUGUCAAACCAUUUCAGUAUUUCUCGGUUCAGUGACAAGAAGGAAUUCUGUCUCCCUUAAGGAAUAACUGGCUGUGGGAUGCACUGGUGGUCUGGAAGGACUUCAGAGUAGAGCCCUGGCUCUCUGGUGGAAAGAAUACAUGUGAACGUGUUGAAUCCUUCACCUUCCUAGACACCUGUGGCGAGCUCACAGCACGUGACAGUGAGGACCAGGCAGGCCAGCCUUGCUUCAGACCCCUUUGGAACCUACAGAUAAUAGACUGUGUUUGUCCAAGUUGCAAGAGGUCUGAAGCACUCUGUGCCUGCUCCUAUAAACAUGGGAACAAUGUCAUCAGGUGACACUGGUGACGACCUAAGAUAUUAUAUCCUCCAAAACACUAGAUACAGGUGCUGUGGACCUGUAAGAUGCAUCUCAGUUGGUUUCAGGAUGAUGCCUGGAAUCAGAAUCAGCUUGAGGAGCAACACCAUGAAUGGGAAACCCUCACCUCAUUCAGGAAGAGUACCCCCAACUUCAAUAUGGAAACAUGGCGCGCCAUGCUGAGGGGGCAUCUCAGCAUGUCUCCUUACAUUUGCUUAAAAUAUAUCAAUUACGUUUCUUGCAA